rnacentral:rRNA from 1 species
CACGGGGGUUGCGAGCGUUGUCCGGAAUUACUAGGCGUAAAGGGCAGGUAGGCGGAUCUACGAGUUUUUUGUUAAAGGCUACGGCUUAACUGUAGUAAGGCAGGAGAUACUGUAGGUCUGGAAUGCGGUAGGGGAAGACAGAAUUCCUGGUGUAGCGGUGGAAUGCGCAGAGAUCAGGAGGAAUACCGAAGGCGAAGGCAGUCUUCUAGGCCGUAAUUGACGCUUAACUGCGAAGGUGUGGGGAUCAAACAGGAUUAGAUACC